rnacentral:rRNA from 1 species
UACGUAGGGGGCAAGCGUUGUCCGGAUUUAUUGGGCGUAAAGAGCGUGUAGGCGGCCAUACAGGUCCGUUGUGAAAACUGGAGGCUUAACCUCCAGACGUCGAUGGAAACCGUAUGGCUAGAGUCCGGAAGAGGAGAGUGGAAUUCCUGGUGUAGCGGUGAAAUGCGCAGAUAUCAGGAAGAACACCCGUGGCGAAGGCGGCUCGCUGGGUCGUACCUGACGCUGAGGCGCGAAAGCGUGGGGAGCGAACGGG